rnacentral:rRNA from 1 species
GAUGAACGCUGGCGGCGUGCCUAAUACAUGCAAGUCGAGCGAACAGACGAGGAGCUUGCUCCUCUAACGUUAGCGGCGGACGGGUGAGUAACACGUGGAUAACCUACCUAUAAGACUGGGAUAACUUCGGGAAACCGGAGCUAAUACCGGAUAAUAUAUUGAACCGCAUGGUUCAAUAGUGAAAGACGGUUUUGCUGUCACUUAUAGAUGGAUCCGCGCCGCAUUAGCUAGUUGGUAAGGUAACAGCUUACCAAGGCAACGAUGCGUAGCCGACCUGGGAGGGUGAUCGGCCACACUGGAACUGAGACACGGUCCAGACUCCUACGGGAGGCAGCAGUAGGGAAUCUUCCGCAAUGGGCGAAAGCCUGACGGAGCAACGCCGCGUGAGUGAUGAAGGUCUUCGGAUCGUAAAGCUCUGUUAUUAGGGAAGAACAAAUGUGUAAGUAACUAUGCACGUCUUGACGGUACCUAAUCAGAAAGCCACGGCUAACUACGUGCCAGCCGCCGCGGUAA